GACGAACGCUGGCGGCGUGCUUAACACAUGCAAGUCGAACGGAAAGGCCCUGCUUUUGUGGGGUGCUCGAGUGGCGAACGGGUGAGUAACACGUGAGUAACCUGCCCUUGACUUUGGGAUAACUUCAGGAAACUGGGACUAAUACCGGAUAGGAGCUCCUGCUGCAUGGUGGGGGUUGGAAAGUUUCGGCGGUUGGGGAUGGACUCGCGGCUUAUCAGCUUGUUGGUGGGGUAGUGGCUUACCAAGGCUUUGACGGGUAGCAGGCCUGAGAGGGUGACCGGCCACAUUGGGACUGAGAUACGGCCCAGACUCCUACGGGAGGCAGCAGUGGGGAAUAUUGCACAAUGGGCGGAAGCCUGAUGCAGCAACGCCGCGUGCGGGAUGACGGCCUUCGGGUUGUAAACCGCUUUCGCCUGUGACGAAGCGUGAGUGACGGUAAUGGGUAAAGAAGCACCGGCUAACUACGUG
rnacentral:rRNA from 1 species